GGGUUGUAUGAAAGGAGAGAAGGUUAGCACUUCCCUUGAUAAAGAUGGAAGAGGCCCUCAGGCCUGACAACCCACAUACAGUUAAGGCACUGCCAUCUACUUGGAGGCAUUUAACUACUGUUUUUU
ensembl:snRNA